UACAGAGGUCCCGAGCGUUGUUCGGAUUCACUGGGCGUAAAGGGUGCGUAGGCGGUUCUGAAAGUCUGAUGUGAAAUCUCCAGGCCCAACCUGGAAACUGCAUUAGAAACUACAGGGCUAGAGGCUUGGAGAGGGACGUGGAAUCCCAGGUGUAGCGGUGAAAUGCGUAGAUAUCUGGAGGAACACCGGUGGCGAAGGCGACGUCCUGGACCGGCAUUGACGCUGAGGCGCGAAAGCCAGGGGAGCAAACGGG
rnacentral:rRNA from 1 species